GUGACUUUAGGUCUCCUGGCCGUCGGGUGGUUGGAUCUUGGUCGAGUGGUUGCUUCUUGAUCGAGUGUCUUCGAGUCCGUCGAGUGAAACACCGCCAAGUCGAUUAAAAUGUGAUUUCUUCUGGAGGUGUCCUUGGGUAGGUCAGUUUGGACAGGUUCAUGACCCUACCCUAGAUACAUAGCUUCAUCACUGCGUGCUCUCUCUCUCUAUCUAUCUAUCUAUCUAUCUAUCUCUCUCUCGAUUUAUUUCAAAUUCAUUUUUUGAUGAAAAUGAUCCAAAUAUAUUAUCAAUGUUCACCGAAAGUACAAAGCACCUCAAACAUAAUAAAAAUUACAUUGAGAUUCUGAACCCCAACACAACCACUGCCAGUGUUAAAACGAGCCACUGAUGCGCUGUUGUCGCUGCUGUCCUACUGGAGCCGACUACAUUCAUUUUUAGAGUAGUUGAUAUUACCUUCAUAUCAAAGUACAAGACGUUUUUGUAGGCUAGGCGGUAGUAAAUACCAAGUGCAAUUUAUGAUGGAUGCAAAAUGAUAAUUCGGUAAAACAUUUUUGAUUCAAAUAUAUCGAACAACCGUUGUUGUCCGUGGCUUAUUUCCUUCUCAACAACACUGCUCUGGCCAUCUACGAGGUACUCACUCGGUACGUAUUAGCCAUAUCCAUUACACGGCAGCGUUGCUUUACUUAGCUCCCAGCAAUUCACUUACUUAGCUUUAUUCUAUUAGGAUCGGAGGACCAUCACAUUUCAGGCCUGGGAGUUGAGGCGGGUGCACCCACGUCACCUAUGGGGUGCGCCCGCUCCCCACGGGCUUGCCGCCGGACGCCUCCGCAGCUGCGGCGCCACUGCUCGCCACCGUGCACGGGCCCGACUGGCACCCGGCGCCGCAGUAGUCCGGGCCCGUGCCGCAGUAACCCCACUGGCUGCAGCACAUGCCCGCCGGGCAGUUGCAGUUCUGCGCGACCGCCGGACCAGCGGCGGACAGGAGGAGCACUGCCAGCCCGAAGGCCAGGAAUGUCGCAGUGAGCGGCAUCGCUAGCUUUGCCAUCUGUGCUUGAUAAGUGGCCGGGUAACUGGUUAAGGUUCUGCUGUUGGUGUGGCGCAGCUAUUUGAGAUGGAGAAGUUCCGCCUGGGGUGGUGGUUUAUAUAGGAGAGUUCGAUAGCAGAAAAGGAAAUAUCAUGGGCAGGCGUGAUGAUGAGAUUACGCUUGGACGUUACACAUAUGCAAAGGAUGACGCGUAUCUUAUCUCGGUUUGUUAGCCAUACAUGGGCACAACUGCAGCGGCCACGCACGGCCAACAGUGAUGACGUCCCCGGUCCGGAACGGUGGCUGCUGACCGGGCUAUCUAAUGAUGAAAUGAUAAGUAUCUCAAUUUUUUAUAGGAAAAGACAUGCAAUUGAAAGCAUAGCAUAGAAAUUUUUCAUUGAAUCUAGGCUAAUACUUUUGUUUUAAAAUGUGAUUGAUUGAUUCUUAUCUCAUACAGGAACAGGAAUCCACGCAAAUGACCAAUGGUGGCCAGGCUCCAGUGAGCUUGUUUAAAAAAAACAUGUUUCCAUAGCGCAAAAGAAACUGGCAAAAUUUGUAAAUACAGAAAUACAAGUUUAACACAUCCGAGAAAAGUUUCAUAACAUUAUACUUUGACACGUGGCCUACCAAAACAAGGCAAAUAUGUAUUUUCAAAAUGGGCCGACUUUUCUUUUUGUCGGGCCACAAUUUUGUCUUUUUUGUACAGCAUACAUCACAAUAUUUUCAAACGAUUUUUUACACAUUUGUGCAGAAAACACAUAAGUUUCCAUGGAAAGAAACAAUUUGAUGAAACAUUUAAAUAUGAUUUUUGUUUUUCUUUUUUGAAAAAGGGGCUCGAUGGACAUCCCUGAGUGGUGUUUCUUAAAUAUCUUCAAGCUGUUGCGAUCCCCCUUAGUCUUCCGGGUAAUAAAAUAUUUCCCGACAAAACAUUCUUUGGGUCACAAACAUUUGUCAUCUUGUUUAAGCUACUCACCAUUGUGGAACAAUAAUACUCUAAUAUUUCUUUUGGAUAUCACACAAUUUUCUUUUAAGAAUUGAGCGUGAGCUCGUCCAACAUAAGAAGUCACUUAACAUAAGCUUCACAACCUCGAAUUUUAUGAAAUGGAAAUAGUGACUUUUCUCGUUCCAUGUCUCGUAUCGUGUCCUAUUCAGAGAUUUAGAUGAUACCCUCCAUAGUGUGGAAGCCAGUAUUUUGCUUUAUUUAGAGCAGGACCCAAAAUGAUAAGUCUUCAUUAAAACCAUUUGCAAUAAGGUUCAAUUAGAUGACAAGUCAUCAAUAAAACCAUCUGCAAUAAGGUUCAAUUGGGUCAACCAGACAGACCAUUUUUUUGAGGCGUUCUCAGAAGUAUGAGCUGCGAAACUAUUCUGAAACUUUUACAUAUCACUAAACUCCUAACUCAAAUACAUGGAUUGGUGGAUCCAUGUGUAGGUCAUAGCAACUUGAUUUCAACAUGUUGAUUAUAUACUUUAUUACAUAUUUCUUUAAACUUUUCAAACAUAUGGGAUGUCAUAUGUUGUCUGAAUGACCAAGGGGGUCUCGGACUGGAAGAUCUUGAGAUUAAGAGUUUUUGUUGCACAAAUGGCUUUACGUUACUCACCUAGGAUGGUGUAUGGAAAUAAUUGCUCCGAAAUGAAUACCUACAUUCUAAAACCCUCUCUGAAGUUUAGGCAAAGCCAAAUGAUUCUCAUUUUUUGGAAAUGUCUCAUGGGGGUUAAAAGUUGGUUUUUCGUCUACGAACCUUUAUGGCAGGCAAUGGUUUAUAGGUUUUGAGAACACCCAUGGCCGGGGAUAUGCCACCAGUUAUGCGGUGCCCAUGGCAUUAUCAUAUUGCCCAACGGAAAGACAUGUCUGUUGCCUCGAGAACACUAUUUGAAAUCUACAUUUUACCUAGGGUCGUAACCGCUGAAUAUUCCUUUUCGACGACCUAUAAUUGGUGAGAAAUGGACCCAGUUGGUACGUCUUGUUGUUGGGGAACGUAGCAUGCAAUUUCAAAAAUUUCGUACAAUCACGCAAGAUCUAUCUAGCAGAUGCAUAGCAAGGAGAGGGGGAGAGUGCGUCCAUGUAUCCUCGUAGACCGAAAGUAAAAGCGUUAACUUAACGCGGUUGAUGUAGUCGAACUUCUUCGCGGUCCAACCGAUCAAGUACCGAACGUACGACACCUUCGAGUUCAGCACACAUUAACCUCGAUGACGUCCCUCGAACUCCUGAUCCAGCAAAGUGUCGAUGGAGAGUUUCGUCAACACGACGGCAUGGUGACGGUGAUGGUGAUGUGAUCCGCGCAGGGCUUUGCCUAAGCACUACGACAAUAUGACCGAAGAAGUAGACUAUGGAGGGGGGCACCGCACACGGCUAAGAACAAUUGUUGUGCUUUGGGGUGCCCCCUACCCCCGUAUAUAAAGGAGGAGAGGGAGGAGGCCGGCCACAGGGGGGGCGCCAUGGCGGGGGAACCGACUAGGACUCCUGGUCCAAGUCGCCCCCACCCUUCCUUCUUUCGGAGGGGGAAAGGGGGAAGGAGAGGGAAAGGGGGAAGGAAAGGGGGCCGCGCCCCCUUCCCCUUGUCCAAUUCGGACAGCCCAUGGGAGGGGCGCGCGCCACCCCUUGCAGGCUCCCCUCUCUCUCCCCUAUGGCCCAUGUAGGCCCAUUAUUUCCCCGGGGGUUCCGGUAACCUCUUGGUACUACAAAAAAUAGCAGAAACAAUCCGGAACCAUUCCGGUGUCCGAAUACCAUCGUCCAAUAUAUCAAUAAUUACCUCUCGACCAUUUCGAGACUCCUCAUCAUGUCUGUGAUCUCAAUCGUGACUCCGAACAAUAUUCGGAUACCAAAACACAUAACUCAUAAUACAAAUCGUCAUCGAACGUUAAGCGUGCGAACCCUACGGGUUUGAGAACUAUGUAGACAUGACUGAGACACAUCUCCGAUCAAUAACCAAUAGCAGAACCUGGAUGCUCAUAUUGGUUCCUACAUAUUCCAUAAAGAUCUUUAUCUGUCAAACUGUAAUGACAAUAUAUGUUAUUCCCUUUGUCAUCAGUAUGUUACUUGCCCGAGAUUCGAUCGUCGGUAUCUUCAUACCUAGUUCAAUCUUGUUACCAGCAAGUCUGUUUACUCGUUCCGUAAUGCAUCAUCCCACAACUAACUCAUUAGUCACAUUGCUUGCAAGGCUUAUCGUGAUGUGCAUUGCCGAGAGGGCCCAGAGAUACCUCUCCGAUACUCGAAGUGACAAAUCCUAAUCUUGAUCUAUGGCAACCCAAUAAACACAUUCGGAGACACCUGUAGAGCAUUUUUAUAAUCACCCAGUUACAUUGUGAUGUUUGAUAGCACACAAGGUGUUCCUCGGGUAUUCGGGAAUUGCAUAAUCUCAUAGUCAAAGGAAUAUGUAUAAGUCAUGAAGAAAGCGAUAGCAAUAAAACUUAACGAUCAUUAUGCUAAUCUAACAUAUGUGUCUUGUCCAUCACAUUAUUCUCCUAAUGAUGUGACCUCUUUCAUUAAAUGACAACACAUGCCCAUGGUCAGGAAACUUAACCAUCUUUGAUUAGUAAGCUAGUCAAGUAGAGGCAUACUAGGGACACUUUGUUUUGUCUAUGUAUUCACACAUGUAUCAAGUUUUCGGUUAAUACAAUUCUAGCAUGAAUAAUAAACAUUUAUCAUGAUAUAAAAAUAUAUAAAUAACAACUUUAUUAUUGCCUCUAGGGCAUAAUUCCUUCACUUGUUACAAGGUUGAUGAUGGUUAAUCUAACAAAUGAACCAGACACAUUCUAUUGAAAAUUCACACCUUCAGGUGUCUUCACAGUCAAAUCUAUAUAUGAAUAUGUCUGAAAACUGGUUAGUAAGGGCUCGCCCAAAAUUGAAGUCUCAAAUCCAUAUAGGAGUUUGUGCUUUACUUUGGGAUAUUUGAAACUCUCGUAAUGGUUAUAUUCUUAACUUUAGGAAAGUUCCAAAUUUCUAGUGAGUCAUUUUUUAGGCUUGUCAACUGGAUUCAUAUGUGGUCCUUACUUCAUAAGGAGGACAAGCGGGCGCCCACAGUCUUUGGUUGCAACCGAUGAAAGAUGGUCUUUUGAGGUUUAUUCACCCAUUUGGUUGUGGACCCACUAGUACAAUUUGUGAUGCAUAAGGCUCAUAUUCGUACUUUUUAUUUUUGCCAUUUGGACAGCCAUUUGUGGAAUUAAUCUGUUGAACUAUUUUGAACUGUUGGAUGGCAUGAAUUUUGCGGUGAUUAUUAAAAAUUUGUGUGCAUCAUUCGAUGCAGAGACUGAGGGCAGUCCCCUCUUUUUCUAAAAAAAGGUAGCCAUAUUCAUAUCUAUUAAGUUCGCCUAUAAAAAUAUUAAAAAUUGAAAACCUCUUUGAUUGGUCAUGCUCAGUGGACCACAUACAUAACCUAUAAGUUCCAAUAUCUAGAUCGAAGUGAAAAGUGCCUUCUUCAUCUUCAAGCUUCGCACAUCUCAAGUGGUUGAAAAUGAAAUGACUCUAGAAGGCCAUCAUCAUGUAGCUUCUACCCACACUUAUGUGAAUUAAAUGACUAUCAAAAAUAGUUUGGGUUCAGAUCAUUAGAGCAUCUCCAACAAUAGCAGUGGUCCCUGACUUUUUACAUCACUUUGCACCAAAACUUGCUCCAACAGUGCUCAAAACUUGUCAUGGUCUCCAACGGGUGUGGUCCCAUUUUUGGGCAGCCCUCAGAAACAACCCCAAAUGAUGUAUUUACAUCACAUGCAGCUGUCCUAAAAGUUUACAUCACGGGGGCCAUGCAGAACCACAAGAAAACGACUGUUUUACAUCACUUUGUGCCAAAAACGUUCCUCCAACAACUGUAUACCAUAAAAAGAGUGACAUGAGGUAUAUUAGGGCAUCAAUUUCAGGGCAGAUGUUGGAGAUGAAAAUUUUCUAAUGUCUUAAAAGUCACUUCUUGUGCCCUAAAUUUCUCUCCAACUGCUUUUCAGUGCUUUAUUGUAGGGCAGCUAUUGAAGAUGCUUUUAAGUCGGAACCUUCUAUGUUGAUGUUGUAGGCCGACUCGCCUUCAAAAGGAAAUAAUCAAUCCUUUUGUGAGGUAACUGAUUCUCUUUUCAGUUUCGGCGAUCAAAAAAUAAUAGCUUUGAGCCAUUGGAUCGAAAAUGAACUGAUGGAUCAUUUUUUUUUUCUUCCUCCAACCGUCUUAUUUUCUGGCUUUAUUCCCCAUAGCACAUGAUCUCUCUCCCCGGUCCGAUUUUCCCCCUACCUCUCAGAUCUGGUGAGGUCCUUAUCAAACCCUCAUGGGUCACGUCGCGGCCUCGCCUUUGCCGGUAAUGUCGUGCCCAUCCGGGCCGCUCUCACCUUGGCCUCCUAGCACUGCGUGCUCUCUCUCUCUCUCUCAAUUUAUUUCAAAUUCAUUUUUUUGAUGAAAAUGAUCCAAAUAUAUUAUCAAUGUUCACCGAAAGUACAAAGCACCUUAAACAUAAUAAAAAUUACAUUGAGAUUCUGAGACCCCCGAACAACCACUACCGGUGUUAGAACGAGUCACUGACGCGUUGUUGUCACCGCUGCCCUACUGGAGCCGACUAUAUUCAUUUUUAUAGUUGAUAUUACCUUCAUAUCAAAAUACAAGACGUUUUUGUAGGCUAGGCAGUAGCAAAUACCAAGUGCAAUUUAUGAUGGAUGCAAAAUGAUAACUCGGUAAAACAUUUUUGAUUCAAAUAUAUCGAACAACCGUUGUUGUCCGUGGCUUAUUUCCUUCUCAACAACACUGCUCUGGCCAUCUACGAGGUACUCACUCGGUACGUAUUAGCCAUAUCCAUUACACGGCAGCGUUGCUUUACUUAGCUCCCAGUAAAAUUCACUUACUUAGCUUUAUUCUAUUAUAAGC
rnacentral:lncRNA from 1 species